rnacentral:rRNA from 1 species
AGAGAUGUGUGAUGACGCAUAUCAAUAAGCGGAGGAAAAGAAACUAGCAAGGAUUCCCUUAGUAACGGCGAGUGAAGCGGGAAGAGCUCAAAUUUGAAAUCUUCAAGGUUCUACCUUGACGAAUUGUAGUUUAUAGAAGUGUUUUCUGUUAGUGGAGUGGCAAAAGUUCUUUGGAAUAGGACAUCAUAGAGGGUGAGAAUCCCGUAUUUGGUCAUUCCUCCUAGCGUUGUGAUACACUUUCAACGAGUCGGAUUGUUUGGGAAUGCAGUCCAAAAUGGGUGGUAAAUUUCAUCUAAAGCUAAAUAUUGGCGAGAGACCGAUAGCGAACAAGUACCGUGAGGGAAAGAUGAAAAGAACUUUGAAAAGAGAGUUAAACAGUACGUGAAAUUGUCAAAAGGGAAGCGUUUGACACCAGUGUUGUUUUUCCGAAAAUCAAUUACGAAUGUUUUGUUUUUAAGGAGUUAUGACUUCAUCGGCUUGCUCCUUUCUUUACGAAACUUUCUUAAUGCACUUUUCGGUUAACAAGUCAACAUCAAUUUCUUUUGUUGUAAAAGGGUAAGAGGAAGGUGGCUUGCGCUUCGGCUCAAGUGUUUAUAGCCUUUUACCCCUGCAAUCGGAGAGAUUGAGGUCUGCAGCGUAGAUCCUUCGGGGUUAGAUACAUUUGUGCUAAGCUAUAGCCUUGUAUAGACAACUUGUUGACUAUGCUCAGUCAUGUAGCUUACUCGCUUAUGCUAUUUUACCUACGCUUAGGAUGUUGAACUCUAUCACACACAG